rnacentral:rRNA from 1 species
CGCCUCUUGAAAAACAUAAGAGGUCCAGCCUGCCCAGUGACAAUGUUCAACGGCCGCGGUAUCCUAACCGUGCGAAGGUAGCGUAAUCACUUGUCCUUUAAAUGAGGACUAGUAUGAAUGGCAUCACGAGAAUUAUACUGUCUCCUUUUUCCAAUCAGUGAAACUAAUCUUUCCGUGAAGAAGCGGAAAUACACCUAUAAGACGAGAAGACCCUAUGGAGCUUUAAACGAAACAACAUUUGCUAUAAUACACGUUAAUCUCAGGAAAUAAACCUUUAUUUUUUAGCAUUAUAAUUGUUAGUUUUAGGUUGGGGUGACCGCGGAGUAAAAAAUAACCUCCACAAUGAACUAGGGAACUUCCCUAAACAAAAAACCACAACUUUAUGUAUCAACAAAUUGACAUCAAUUGACCCAAUAUUUUGAUCAACGAAACAAGUUACCCUAGGGAUAACAGCGCAAUCCACUUUGAGAGCCCAUAUCGACAAGUGGGUUUACGACCUCGAUGUUGGAUCAGGGUACCCCAGUGGUGUAGCCGCUACUAAAGGUUCGUUUGUUCAACGAUUAAAACCCU